AGUUUGAUUAUGGCUCAGAUUGAACUGGCGGGAUGCUUUACACAUGCAAGUCGAACGGCAGCACGGACUUCGGUCUGGUGGCGAGUGGCGAACGGGUGAGUAAUGUAUCGGAACGUGCCUAGUAGCGGGGGGUAACUACGCGAAAGCGUAGCUAAUACCGCGCCGCCCUUCGGGGGAAAGCGGGGGACCUUCGGGGCCUCGCACUAUUAGAGCGGCCGAUAUCGGAUUAGCAGUUGGUGGGGUAACGGCUCACCAAGGCGACGAUCCGUAGCUGGUUUGAGAGGACGACCAGCCACACUGGGACUGUGAAGGACACGGCCCAGACUCUACGGGAGGCAGCAGUGGGGAAUUUUGGACAAUGGGGGAAACCCUGAUCCAGCCAUCCCGCGUGUGCAAUGAAGGCCUUCGGGUUGUAAAGCACUUUUGGCAGGAAAAACGGCUGCGGGAUAAUACCCCGUGCAACUGACGACCACCUGCAGAAUAAGCACCGGCUAACUACGUGCCAGCAGCCCGCGACAGCCGUGGGUGCAAGCCCAUUAAUCGGAAUUACUGGGCGUAAAGCGUGCGCAGGCGGUUCGGAAGAAAGAUGUGAAAUCCCAGAGCUUAACUUUGAACAUUUUUAACUACCGAGCUAGAGUGUGUCAGAGGAGGUGAAAUUCGCGUGUAGCAGUGAAAUGCGUAGAUAUGCGGAGGAACACCGAUGGCGAAGCAGCCUCCUGGGAUAACACUGACGCUCCCAUGCACGAAAAGCGUGGGGAGCAAACAGGAUUAAGUCCGCCUGUUAGUCCACGCCCUAAACGAUGUCAACAGCUGUUGGGGCCUUCGGGCCUUGGUGGCUGGCUAACGCGUGAAGUUGACCGCCUGGGAGAGUACGAUCGCAAGAUUAAAACUCAAGGAAUUGACGGGGACCCGCACAGCGGUGGAUGAUGUGGAUUAAUUCGAUGCAACGCGAAAACCUUACCUACCCUUGACAUGUGCGGAAUCCCGAAGAGAUUUGGAGUGCGCAAGAGAACCGGAACACAGGUGCUGCAUGGCUGUCGUCGCUCGUGUCGUGAGAUGUUGGGUUAAGUCCCGCAACGAGCACAGCCUUGUCGUGGAUUUGCUGCGAAGACUCUAAUGAGACUGCCGGUGACAAACCGGAGGAAGGUGGGGAUGACGUCAAGUCCUCAUGGCCACUUAUGGUGAAGACUACGUCAUGCAAUGGGUCGGGACAGAGGAUUAGCCAACCCGCGAGGAGGGGGAGCCAAUCCCAAGAAACCCGAUCACAUAGUCCGGAUCGCAGUCUGCAACUCGACUGCGUGAAGUCCGAAUCGCUAGUAAUCGCGGAUCAGCAUGUCGCGGUGAAUACGUUCCCGGGUCUUGUACACACCGCCCGUCACACCAUGGGAGUGGGUUUACCAAGUAGUUGGCUAACCGUAGGAGGGCGAUUACGGUAAGUUCAUGACUGGGGUGAAGUCGUAACAAGGUAA
rnacentral:rRNA from 1 species